CUGCGAGUGUGUGUGCCGAACGAGGAGCAAGGAGCUUGUGCGAGCGAGUGUGCGAGCGGGGGUGCGCGUGUGAGUGUGCGUGCGCGUGGCGCGGGCGCCGUCGCUGCUCGGAGCCUGGCCGGGCCGGGGUCCGCGGGCUUCAGCGCGUGCGCUCGGCCUGCGGGGAGCCCAGGUCCCACGCGGCCGGCAGCCAGUCAGGGCUGCGAAGGUGCAGGCCGGCCAAGCGCUGCGGACCCGGCGGGCUGCAGGAAGAACUAACUAUACCCCGAACAUCCGCUGUCAGCAGGCACGAGACUGUGAUUCAAGAUGAGCGGCCGAAGCAUCCCCUGCGUGUGUGAAGAAGAUCCAGCAAGAGGAGGAAGCAGGGUUCCUGAAAGCCAGGCUGACGACGAAAAAUCCUGUGCUGAGUUAACGUGGGUGUCUGAAUGGGCAGAAUCGGUGUAUGAACAGGCCGCCCCACCCCCACCCUGGCAGGGAUACACUGUGAGGUCAAAGCUGGACCCUGUGUCUGUCUUCAGGACACGAACCAAUUUAAAAAGAAAUCAUUCACUUAAAAAGACUUUUUAAAUCAGCUUCCACUGGUGCAGACUGACUGGUUAAUAUCAUGUCAACUUAACGUAUUCUGAAAAUAAGGGUUACUAACUUUCACAGACAACCAGUGGGCUCAGGGAGCCAUGAAGCUGUCUCGGGAAUGCAUACAAGACACAUAUAGAUGAAGCUGGACGCUUGUCAGACGUGUGAACUAAGUCCCUGUAACCAAGGGAGGAAGUGAUCACAUCACCUCAUUGGCUCUGCAGAUCUAAGUCAACUCAAAAAAGGCAAGCAUGGCCCAGAGUCGGAUGCACCCUCAGAUUCAGCAGCCGGCCACCGGCAUCCCCUUUUCCCCCUUCCACGGUGGUACAUGGAAUAAAAACACGCCCCGGGCUUGCUGGAAUACCAAGGAAACAUUCAUGCCCAUGGAAAGAGGAGCCUUCACUAACCUUGAGUGGGAGAGAACCAGCCAGGGCCUCUGAGGCACAUGGAAAUACUUGUCUGAAGGAGUUGGCUCUUAGAAGUCACAGCACAGAUGCCUGAAGCAGAAGGAGAAGCACCUGUAGUGGCUGUCACCCUGCAGGCACCUCUGUUACUGGAGUCGCCAAGAGACAGUAUUACAGAAGCCUUGGAAGUGAGAGUGCUCCCCUAAGGAGAGGUCCAGGAACCUGUUGCUAAGGGGCCAGCAUGGCAGUGCCCCUGCUGGGCCUGCUUAGAAGGAGCCCCGGUGCUUAGUGGUUCCUUUCUGAAGCCUAGGCUAAGAAUUCUACAUGGCUUCAUCCUCUGCUCUACUCAAGCAAAGAGGAGCUUCAACUGCUGGGUCUAAGGCACACGUGGAUGUUGGAGCUCAGCUCAACAACUGGGAAUGGAGGACCUCUCCAGAGCCCCAGAAGACCCCCGCCCGGGUGUGUGUGACAUCAGUUGGGGAGCUAUUAAUAACUGCCCUCCCCCCCCCCGUCAUAUUUCCUGAACUGUGUGGGGAAGGCGAUUGUGAGGCGCUCUGCUGGAAUUUGGCAGCGCGGAGGCUUGGAGAGCAGCCCCAUGCUGGCUCCUAUUCAGCCGGCCAGUUUUCCUCGAGCUUUGGAAGUUUCACUCAGCCGUGCACUCAAUGGCUUCACAAAGCUGAUUACAAGCUUCAGCGCAUUCCUGAAGGAGCCAAAAGCGACGCAGGUGCAAACGAGCCGAGGGAGCCCCUUAUCCCGGUGACAGAAUGGGACAAGCUGGGAAAGGCUUGGACCACACAAAUCCAAGGCUCACCAGGCAGCAGAGAGCCUGCCUUGGGAACCGGGGGUCAUUAUCCGCCCUAUUCAGCGGGGCCGGGGACCCUGGGGCCCGGGAGGCCGGCCGGGCGCAAGCGCCACCGCCAGUGCGCGCCCACAGCAGUGGGGACCCCGCUGGGCGUUGCAACCCGUCGGGAUGUUGGGCGCUGCGUUUGUUCCCACCGACAGCGGUCGGCGAAAUCCAUCCUGCUGGUGAAAGCCGGUGUCCAGGCUAACUCGGAUACAGGAGAACGAGGGUAGCGAAGAUGCUCAGUGCGUGGACAGUGCGUAAUUUCGUCUCCAUCACAGUCACUUAUCUGGAAACCUGCGGCUGGAUUAAUCGCUAUAUUCCCAAGAUGAGCGGUGCUGCAAUCCGCAGUGAACACGGGUGGGAACAUGGAAACUUCCCCCAGGUUCUUGCGGGGGCCAGCAGCUGGCCUGCUCCCUGCAGUGGCUGCUGCACAGUUGCUAGCACCUGUUUGGGCUCGGGUUGGGGGUCCACGGGCACUUAGGCGCACAGAAGAUGUGGAAGAGGAGAAGGAAACAGGCCUGUGGGGACUCCGGCCUGAGAGAGGUUGGUUAGCUCUCAGUAAAGGCACAGAACUGCCUAUGUAAAGAGCUUUUUAACCUGAAAACGGUGCUGCCAAAUCUUCAGACAGUGGUCUAUUCAGAUGCAGAAAAAUGUUCCCUCCCAUCUUGAUCUCCCAGUCUCACCCCUACCACGCCCACUGCUGCGCCUUAGGCCCCUCCCCUGGAAUUUCCUCUUUCGGGAUCCUGGUCCUCCAAGGGUUAGUAAUAUUUACUUAGGAACUGUGAGCAUGGAAAUAAGUCCUAGUUGUCCAGCCCCUUGUCCUACCUAUUCGAGGUAAAGACUGUAUAGGCUGUAGCCGGGCAGUGGUGGCAGACGCCUUUAAUCCCAGCACUUGGGAGGCAGAGACAGGUGGAUUUCUGAGUUCGAGGCCAGCCUGGUCUACAGAGUGAGUUCCAGGACAGCCAGGACUGUACAGAGAAACCUUGUCUCGAAAAACCAAAAAUAAAAAUAAAAAAAUAAAAUAAAAAGGAUGGUGUGGACUGUGUGGUGCCAAAGCUCUAGGGAGAAUACUUGUCUACAAAAACUUUCUCUGCUGAGGUCAAAGCAUCAGAUUCGAGGGAAAUACCACUUGGUGCUGGAGGUCCCUGGGCCUGGGCAACGAUGUCUCUGUAGGUGUGAAAAGCCGGGCAUAGGACGCAGGCAUGAAAACUGUGUGCCUCCAUUUUGGCAGCAUAUUAAACAUCCAAGAGGUACCUGGCCACCACAUAUGGCCCCUGAGCAUCCAACAUUCAGAAUGUCAUACACAUAGAUUUUAAAGUUGCUGAAUGAGAAAGAGAUCAUUGAUUACUUGAGAUGUUGGCUACAGAAAUGACGGUGCUUGGGAUGUCUUGGGUUAAAGAAACCACAUUGAGCCUCACUGCCGGCUGCUCUUGGAAGUCACUGUGGCCUUGGUAGCUCCUCUUUGCUGGCUCUGUGCCUUUCAGCGGCUUUCUGUGGUCUUUCCAUGAUCCUCUAUGAAAUGGAAAAGGAAGACAUAAAUGUAAAGAACUGAGCUUGUGAUCACUAGAGGCAGCCCCCUGCGCCCCUCCCAACUCCUCUCAAAGUUACUCUUGUAACAAUCAAAGCUUCCUUGCUUGCAGCAGCAGAAAGAAGUACACCUUGUAUUUACUGCUGGGAUUGUAUUCUUUCUAGUUUAGCUUUAAUUCUGUUUAAUUACAUUGUGAUCAUUAACCGUGCUGCAACUUUUUGUUACUAGAUAUUUUCUUUAUUUACAUUUCAAAUGUUAUCCUUCUUCCUAGUUUCCCCUAUGAAAACCCCCUAUCCCAUCCCCACUCCCACUGCUCCCCCAACCUACCAACUCCUGCUUCCUUGUCCUGGUAUUCCCCCACACUGGGGCAUUAAACCUUCACAUCGAACCUCUCCUUCCACUGAUGUCCAACAAGGCCAUUCCCUUCUACAGGUGCCCACACAGUCAUCUCGAAAACAGAAAGAAGCGAAAUUGAUUUUAGAAGCAGUGUCAGAGAAUUUGAAUGUAUUUACAGACAGGGAGCCAUGGGUCCCUCCACGUGGAGAUCCAAAGACAAAGUGGAGAACAGAGACGGAAGGAAAGGCCAUCCAGAGACUGCCCCACCUGGGGAUCCAUCGAGUAUACAGCUACCAAACUCAGCUACUACUGUGAAUGCCUACAGGUGCUUACUGCAGCUUUUGAAGAAUCUUGCUACUACUGCUGGGUGAUGGAGGAGCUUUGAUUCCAGGGGCGCCUGUGUGAAUCCCAUGGCAUUAUAAGGAAACUUCUCUCUGCUAUUUAGUCAGCACUUGAUGCUUUCUGGCUUUAAUUUUGCCUUACAAAUGAGUGUAACUGCCACCACUCAAACAAAACAAAAUUCUGAACAGAAAUCUGUCUUCUGUGAACAGGGUCUGUACCAAUCAAGAGUGAGUUCCUUCUCAGAAUUCCUCUUGGGGCUAACACAAAGCUUUAGAACUAUAUGAAAUGAGACUUGGUCCAAGGAGGCCAUGAAGGAGCAUGUUCAUAAAUCUGUUUUACAUGUAUUCAUUGACAUUUAUUCAUGCCCUGGGAGUGUGCUUGGCACGGUGAACACAGAGAUCAGAGGACAGUCUUCAGGAGUCACUCAUUUCCUACCAGCCUGUAGGUCCCAGGGAUCUAACUCAGGCCACCUGGCUUGGCACCAACUGCCUUUGAGAUGUUGAGCCAUCAUACCAAUUCAAGUAAACUUUAAUAUUAAAGAUUUCAAAGUACUCUGUAUAAUAUUUUAGAUACCAGAUGUCUGAAAGUAAAGUUGUAAAAAGUCAAAAUUUUAUUUAGUCAUUUGGCUUAUAAGAAAUGAAAAAAACCUGCUCCAUGCUUAUUGUCCUUAAUAUAGUCUAUUAAAGCACGCCAUGAAAAUUUUACAUGAAUAAGCUUGGAGUAUAUACAAUAUCGUUCAAUUUAUUUACUUUGGGUAUUGUAUAACCAAUAUGAAAAAAAAUUGGGAAAAUGUGAAGUUAAAUCCACUAUGUCAAUAAACUGAAAGUAUCUCAGAGAUAAAUUUUGAAUAAAA
rnacentral:lncRNA from 1 species